AUGAAGUUCCUUCGGGGAUGGAUUAGUGGCGAACGGGUGAGGAACACGUGAAGAAUCUGCCCUCCACUUUGGGAUAACUCCGGGAAACCGGGGCUAAUACCGAAUAUUGAAACAUAAGCGGCAUCGCUGAGUUUUGAAAGAAUUUCGGUGGAGGAUGACUUCGCGGCCUAUCAGCUUGUUGGUGAGGUAAUGGCUCACCAAGGCAACGACGGGUAGCCGGCCUGAGAGGGCGACCGGCCACACUGGGACUGAGACACGGCCCAGACUCCUACGGGAUGCAGCAGUGGGGAAUAUUGGGCAAUGGACGCAAGUCUGACCCAGCGACGCCGCGUGCGGGAUGAAGGCCUUCGGGUUGUAAACCACUUUCAGCAGGGAAGAAGCGAAAGUGACGGUACCUGCAAAAGAAGCACCGGCUAACUAUGUG
rnacentral:rRNA from 1 species